rnacentral:rRNA from 1 species
AGCAGCCGCGGUAAUUCCGGCUCCAAUAGCGUAUAUUAAAGUUGUUGCAGUUAAAAAGCUCGUAGUUGAAUUUCGGGAUCAAUUCGUCGGUCGUGCUUUUUGGUACGUACUGGCGUUAUUGGUUUCUCCCUUCUGACGAGCCAUGAUGUCAUUAAUUUGGUGUUAUGGGGAGUUAGGACUGUUACUUUGAAAAAAUUAGAGUGUUUAAAGCAGGCAUUAGCUUGAAUACAUUAGCAUGGAAUAAUGAAAUAGGACGUUCGAUCCUAUUUUGUUGGUUUCUGGGAUCAACGUAAUGAUUAAUAGGGAUAGUUGGGGGCAUUAGUAUUCAAUUGUCAGAGGUGAAAUUCUUGGAUUUACUGAAGACUAACUACUGCGAAAGCAUUUGCCAAGGAUGUUUUCAUUAAUCAAGAACGAAAGUUAGGGGAUCGAAGACGAUCAGAUACCGUCGUAGUCUUGACCAUAAACUAUGCCGACUAGGGAUCGGAUGAUGUUAAUUUCUUAAUGACUCA